GACGAACGCUGGCGGCGUGCUUAACACAUGCAAGUCGAACGGAAAGGCCCUGCUUUUGUGGGUGCUCGAGUGGCGAACGGGUGAGUAACACGUGAGUAACCUGCCCUUGACUUUGGGAUAACUUCAGGAAACUGGGGCUAAUACCGGAUAGGAGCUCCUGCUGCAUGGUGGGGGUUGGAAAGUUUCGGCGGUUGGGGAUGGACUCGCGGCUUAUCAGCUUGUUGGUGGGGUAGUGGCUUACCAAGGCUUUGACGGGUAGCCGGCCUGAGAGGGUGACCGGCCACAUUGGGACUGAGAUACGGCCCAGACUCCUACGGGAGGCAGCAGUGGGGAAUAUUGCACAAUGGGCGGAAGCCUGAUGCAGCAACGCCGCGUGCGGGAUGACGGCCUUCGGGUUGUAAACCGCUUUCGCCUGUGGCGAAGCGUGAGUGACGGUAAUGGGUAAAGAAGCACCGGCUAACUACGUG
rnacentral:rRNA from 1 species